UGGGGAAUUUUGGACAAUGGGGGAAACCCUGAUCCAGCCAUCCCGCGUGUGCGAUGAAGGCCUUCGGGUUGUAAAGCACUUUUGGCAGGAAAGAAACGUCAUGGGUUAAUACCCCGUGAAACUGACGGUACCUGCAGAAUAAGCACCGGCUAACUACGUGCCGGCAGCCGCGGUAAUACGUAGGGUGCAAGCGUUAAUCGGAAUUACUGGGCGUAAAGCGUGCGCAGGCGGUUCGGAAAGAAAGAUGUGAAAUCCCAGAGCUCAACUUUGGAACUUCAUUUUUAACUACCGGGCUAGAGUGUGUCAGAGGGAGGUGGAAUUCCGCGUGUAGCAGUGAAAUGCGUAGAUAUGCGGAGGAACACCGAUGGCGAAGGCAGCCUCCUGGGAUAACACUGACGCUCAUGCACGAAAGCGUGGGGAGCAAACAGG
rnacentral:rRNA from 1 species